UACGAAGGUGGCAAGCGUUGUCCGGAUUUACUGGGCGUACAGGGAGCGUAGGCGGUUGGGUAAGCCCUUCGUGAAAUCUCCGGGCCUAACCCGGAAAGUGCGGAGGGGACUGCUCGGCUAGAGGAUGGGAGAGGAGCGCGGAAUUCCCGGUGUAGCGGUGAAAUGCGUAGAGAUCGGGAGGAAGGCCGGUGGCGAAGGCGGCGCUCUGGAACAUUUCUGACGCUGAGGCUCGAAAGCGUGGGGAGCAAACAGG
rnacentral:rRNA from 1 species